AGGAGGCCUCGUCACUGGCUGAGGAGAUUAUUUAGAAAAAACAAGACUGGGGAUGCUGGUAUACCUGCGAUCCUGGAGCCAAGCCCUGUGUCAGGGGACGUCCCUCAGAUCUCCAGCACAGUAAAGGUGGUUCCCUGUCUGGACACCCCAGGCCCUCUAGUCACCCUAGCUACCCUUGAGUCCUCCACACUGGUCACCCCGGCCUCCCCAGAAACCCCAUCUCCCGGGGCACCCCAAGGAGAGGAGGUCCCCAGCCCGGACAUCC